AUGUGCCUGCUCCAGCGAGCGGCGCUCUACUUUCUGGGUGGCGCUGACGACCGCGAGGCGCUGGCGUACGCGGCGCGGAUGCCGGAGACCGGGACCAUGUCGCUGACGGUGGUGCGGUUCAAGCUCCGGAACUGGGUUGGGAUGGGCGGGCGCGACGAGGCGAGGCGAGGGACGAGGAGCUGCUGCAGGAGUUCUGGAGCAGGCACAGGGACAACGAGCGGGGUGGUGUACGUGGAGAAGACGGUGGAGGACGCGGAGGGCACAGCGUCCGUGGUGCGCGCCAUGAGCGAGGAGUUCUGCAUCCACGGCGGGGGAGGCGGCGUCGAGGCCUCGUCGCCUUCCAUGGCGAAAUCGAGACCGCAUCUUAGCAGGGAGAAGGAUAAUGAGGAGGAAGAAAGUGAUAGAGAUGGUUUCUUCCGCAGAUUACUCAGGGAUAGCAAAGAGGAGGACAUGGAACUGACACCAAGCUCAGAUGGUUUGUUGAAGCGACUUUUUCGUGAUAAGGAGGACAGGCAAGGUGAGGAUGAUGAGAAGGAUUUUUUCGCAGGAUGUUCAAGGAUAAGAACGAGGAGAGGAGAGAUAGUAAUCAUGCAAGACAUGGGAAUGAGGAAAGACUGGGCAAGAGUGUGGAAGAUGAUGACAGAGAAGGUUUCUUCCGCAAAAUUUUCAAAGAUAAGAAUGAGGAGAGGAAAGAUGAAGGGCAUCAAAAGCCAGAUGAGAGAGAAAAGGUUGGUGCGAACAUAGAAGAUGAUAAGAGAGAUGGUUUUUUCAGGCAACUCUUUAAGGAGAAAAACGAUGAGAAAAAGGAAGGCAGCACACCAAGCAAGAAAGAGGAAGAUGAUAAAGGCCAUAAAAAUGCAGAUGAUGAUAAUUUCUUUCGCAGGCUUUUCAACGAUAAGAAUGAAGAAAAGAAAGGGAUUGUUCAUGACAGGAAUGAAGAUGACAAGUGUGAGGAAGGUGAUAAAGAAAACUUCUUCCGCAAAUUAUUUAAGGAUAAACUUGAGGAGAGGAGAACUGAGGGACCUGAUAAAAAUGAUGAUUAUGGUAAGGGAAGUAGUGGUAUCGAAGAGGAAGAUAAUCCAGAGUUUUUGUCAUUCCGUAGGUUGUUUAGAGUGCACCCAGAAGAUCCUAAGAGUGGGCACAUAGAAAGCAGUCAAUCUAACAAUCUUUCUGAGGGGAGCCUAGGAUCAGAAAGCUUUUUUAAGAGGCUAUUCCGUGAUAGAGACCGCUCACUUGAAGAUUCUGAGAUUUUUGGGUCAAAAAUGGCAAAAGAGAAACACCCUGGUACUACAGGAAUCAAUGAGAAGCAAAGUGGGAAACCACCAUUACCAAUUAAUGCAGUAGCAGAGCUUCGAAAAGGUUCUUACUAUGCUUCGUUGGAACUUGUUCAGGCUUUAUGUGAUACAUCUUAUGGCCUGGUAGACAUAUUUCCUAUUGAGGAUCGUAAGAUUGCCCUCCGGGAGUCUCUUAUAGAGAUCAAUAGCCAGAUUGCUUCUGCUGAAAAAAAUGGAGGAGUAUGCUUUCCGAUGGGAAAGGGCAUAUAUCGAGUGGUUCAUAUACCUGAAGACGAGUCUGUUCUUCUGAAUUCUAGGGAGAAAGCUCCUUACCUUAUAUGUGUUGAAGUUUUAAAAGCAGAAGCUCCUAGCCACUCUAAAGGAUCAUCAGAUGGGCACAAAUUAUCAAAAGAUGGGAUACCAUUGGCUAAUGGAGAUGUGCAACUACCAAAACCACCUCCAUGGGCCUAUCCUUUGUGGAGCAGACACGAAACACAAAACUAUGAAACAGACAUAAUGUUGAAGUCUACUUCUCAGGUUAUUGACCAAGCAAUGGCUCAACUCUGGGAGACUAAAGUAAAAUUUGUAAAUGUUAGUUUCUCUAUUGAGAAACUUGGUCGCGCAAAGAGCAUUGUACUUUCUGAAACGGGUCGUAGGCUGCGACAUGAUGCUACGGAUUCAAAUAUGAUUGUGUGCAAAGCACGAACAUUUUACUAUAACAAUGAAACCCACAUUUGUACAUAAUUCAU